AGGGAUUAAGAUAUUUUUCAUGGCUAUUCAUCGCUACACCCAGAUGGAUCAAGAUAUUUUUCUCACAAUUUUGGGGAUUUAUUUUUUGCUGAAUCAACGAGGGAAAUAUAAGCCUUAUUAUCCGUUCCUUCCCAUGUCGACGAAGUAUCCCUACAACUGUUGUAUUAUUUUAGAUAUGAAAGUACGAAGAAGGAAACUAUGCUAAAAGGUGUCUAGGUCCAGAUCAUUUGUUAACUUCUAGGGUGGUCGAUAACUUUUAUGUGGCCCAGUUUGACAAUGGAGUAAUAAGGGGGGAAAUCCAAAGCACUUUGAGGGAGAUAAUUGCGAAGUAUGACCUAAUGGUGAACUACAGAUCUUGCGCAGGCUGAACUUCUGCUUCAUCAGGAAUCCGUAGGAAUGGCAGGCCUGAUUCCCAACCUUCCAUGGCCUCAUCUUCGCAGAGUGAUAAACUUCCUUGUCCUUUCGCAACUUUUGAUGGCUGUCAAGGAGGUC